AUUGAACGCUGGCGGCAUGCUUUACACAUGCAAGUCGAACGGUAACAGGCCGCAAGGUGCUGACGAGUGGCGAACGGGUGAGUAAUGCAUCGGAACGUGCCCAGUCGUGGGGGAUAACGCAGCGAAAGCUGCGCUAAUACCGCAUACGAUCUAUGGAUGAAAGCGGGGGACCGUAAGGCCUCGCGCGAUUGGAGCGGCCGAUGUCAGAUUAGGUAGUUGGUGAGGUAAAGGCUCACCAAGCCAACGAUCUGUAGCUGGUCUGAGAGGACGACCAGCCACACUGGGACUGAGACACGGCCCAGACUCCUACGGGAGGCAGCAGUGGGGAAUUUUGGACAAUGGGCGCAAGCCUGAUCCAGCAAUGCCGCGUGCAAGAAGAAGGCCUUCGGGUUGUGAACUGCUUUUGUACGGAACGAAACGGUCCGGGCUAAUACCCUGGGCUAAUGACGGUACCGUAAGAAUAAGCACCGGCUAACUACGUGCCAGCCGCCGCAGUAACAC
rnacentral:rRNA from 1 species